UGGAUCAGGUUUGGUAUAAACACAUGAACAUGCAUAAAAGUUGUUUACGAUGAAAUAGAAUCGGGCGCAGUUACAUCAGAGUAUUUAGAUGAUAUUGAAUGACUCUGUACAAUUCUAAUUGCCGCCGCAUCUUUGAUACGUUCCUAUAGGGAAAUGAAAUAAAUAUUAUUAAAAAAUAUUUUUUACAGGAAUUUUUCGAUCCGAAACACCGAAACAUUGACACAAAGUCAAAAGAAAUCUGCCCGCACGUCUCUCCACAAAAUUUAAACACACCUGACGUCAAGGAUUCACAUAUGUUUUUCGAAGUCAAAGCGGAGAUCGGGAAUAGUCAAGAUGUAAGCUGGAAGGUGAAUGUAAGGUUCAGGAUUGAUGAGGCUAGUUAUCAAGGGAGGAUAUAUGUUUAAGCCGUUUUAUAAUGUCAAGGGAGAGCGGAUUGUAAGCUGGCAAUAUCUAAAAUGACUCGUUAUUCGAGCCGCUAAUGGAUUGCAAUCAUAUUUGAUUCAUGUUAACUUAUAAUAAAUUCACUUAGUUUCAACCGA